UGGCACCAACCUGUACCCUCAAAGGACUUUGGAAACUUACUAACCUUGACUUGUACUAUCUCUACUUGGGCAAUAUCAUUGCUAGAGAUAGCUUUGUCUAUAGAAAAUGGAAGUGGAGGUUAAAUGUAAGAAGGGAGAGUGUUUGGCACUGGACAGAACAGAUAACAUCAGCACCUGCAAGAGGCUAAAGAAUGGCUAAGAGAACAAGGAAGAAAACAAAUGCUAAGAGAUGGCUGUAACAAUCCUAGUUAAGAAGCUGAAGACAGGGUAAUCAUUUUUAAAGAAUACUGUGGACAGGCUGCACAGAAUGCUAUGACUACUUUGUUAUAACCAGAGUCCCCUGGAUUUUCAGAAUUCAGAGCAGGCUUCAGAAACGAGCUUUGUCUGAUUCCUGAAAUGGAAUGUAUGAAACACUGACAGCAAUCUCUUAACUGUGUCUCUUCUCACUCCUGGCUUAUCCAGUGUUUCUGAAAUGGGGAGAUAGAAUGUGUGAGAGUCUGCAAAACUGGAAGACUGCUGGGAGGAAAAUGAAGGGGAAGGAGAAAGGGAAGGGAAGGGGUGAGGAAGAGGGAAAGCAGAGUGCAGGAGAAUGAACAAAUGGGGAGGUCGGUUUUAAAACAUGCCUCUCUUCCUCUCCCAGUCCCCAAAUGAGAAUUACAGAAUCCCAUUCAGUUUUGGGGAUAACCAUUAUUGCUUUGUGUCUAAAGCAGAGGUCUGGGAGUCAGGAGUCUUGGCUUAUAUUUCCCAGCAUGCCAAAGGUCAUACAGUGACUUCACUGUUGCAACCUCAGCUUCCUCAGCUGCAGAACCAAACACACAACACUUUGAGAUUUUGAAACAUACUUCAAAAGACAAGAAUAUUAAAAGGGGAUUUGAAAUUGUAUUAAACCCACUCACCUGCUGACAUUACAAUCAUUAAACGUUGCUUACAUGCUAGUUGGCUGGAACUCUGUAACUUUCUUUACAUGUACAUGAGAUGUUGGGUUUUCUGCAAAUUUAUAGUCAGUGGAUUCUGCCAGCACAUCCAAGUGAUGCAUAACUGACAACAAAUCUAUAAAAAACACUGCUGCAGAAAUGAUCCAUGAAACACUGGUGAAUUUCAGGGACUGUGUUUAUAAUUGAGGCUCAGAGAGCUUUCAUCUUAUCUUCAACUGUUUCCAUCUCACUAAAAACUCAGCUGUGCAUGUCUUUGUCCUCUGAGUUCACAUUCAGGAUGUUGUAAUCCCUAGCUGUUUUCAGUGGAAUUCAAUUAAUAAUCAUUGCAACACCACCACACACAAAUUCAUUUCCGGAGCUCCAAAUAAUGGGUUGUGGUUUCUCCUUUCCUGCAACUAUAACAUUCAGGGUGAAGUCUUUCCACUGUAUUCCCAAUUACUUGCACACGAGUAAGACAAGCAGGGUUUGGCCAACAAAUAAAUUAAUAGGAAAGAGAGCAGUGUAAUGAAGAUGGAUCUAUCUCUUCUAAAAUAUAUUUCCUGUAGCUUUAAAACAGCCUGAAAAUUUGAGAAUGGGAUUGGCUAAAGAGUUAAUGAGAUGAUCUGUAUUGUAACUGCAUUGGAUCUGCUUUCUGGUGAGGCUUUAUAUGCUGUAGUAAAUAGGGCACUGGACUGAGAGUUAGGAGUGUGUGUUCUGCUCCCAGACCUGCUGUAACACCCGGGGAAGUAACUUCUCUUCUUUGUGCCCCAGUCUUCCCCAUCUGCAAAAUGAAGAUGAUUAUGAUAACUUCAUUCCUUUGUAAAUGAUGUGGAGACCUACAGAAGAAGCAUUAUAGAACAGUUACAAAUUAUUCCCUGUUUGACAAGAUUAAUCAUUUAGGCAUUACCAGGUCAAACAUUAGACCAGCUGCAUAUCUGUAGAUCUAUUUCAUUUUGUAAGGAAGAAUUGCAAAAUUGUGUGUGUUGAGAGGUGAUCUUUGUCCAAUUCCACUUAUUAGUUUUCUUGCUCUCUCUCAUUUUCUGGAAAUCCAGAAGGCCUCCCCAGGGAGCUUCCUGUUACUCAUUCCCAGGUGUUUGAUAGUAAAAAACGAUUCAGUGGGAUAAGAAACCCCCAAGUGCAUCCCAGAAUCCAGCACUUGGACAGUGCCCAGCAUAACAUGGACUGUUUUGCUCUCUGACUUACACCUGUUCUAUACUAGCUACACCAACAUUUGUACUAUUAUUAAGGCUGCAUUUUCAUCAUGGCUAUCACGAGACCCAUGGAUCCCAUGAUUUCAUACUGUCAUUUCUAUUUUUACACAUGCUCUGUCAUAACUUAAGCUCAGAAUUUUCAAAGCUGACAAGUUAAACUCUGGACUUUGUGCAGGGUGUAAAAGGGAACAAGACAAUUCAUGAUUAGGGCUAGUUGUCUGUGACUGGAGGAGCAGAAAGAGAUCAUGAAUCCUGCUUUUAGGAAAAAAUCAUGGAGUAUGUAUAUAGCUGACAUUAAAAAGCUGCUGGCUUUGCCAAGGCUGAAUCAGGAAAGUGGAGCUGAAGGUGGGGCCUGAACUAGCAGGGAUUGGGAAAGAGGUUUUAAAUUGUUUUCAGACAGUGGCUAAAUGUUAUUUAAUGGGCUUUGAACACUUUUUGUUUGCAAAUUGUAAGCAAUUUUAAUUAAAAUAAUGUGACCUGUGAUUCUUAGCACUGUCUACUAUUAAAAUGAUUGCUUUUUCUGCUUCA